UACGUAGGUGGCAAGCGUUGUCCGGAAUUAUUGGGCGUAAAGCGCGCGCAGGCGGCCUCUUAAGUCUGAUGUGAAAGCCCCCGGCUCAACCGGGGAGGGUCAUUGGAAACUGGGAGACUUGAGUGCAGAAGAGGAGAGUGGAAUUCCAUGUGUAGCGGUGAAAUGCGCAGAUAUCAGGAGGAACACCGGUGGCGAAGGCGACUCUUUGGCCUAUAACUGACGCUGAGGCGCGAAAGCGUGGGGAGCAAACAGG
rnacentral:misc_RNA from 1 species